GGAACGCGCUGGACUGUGUGGUCCCAGCUUCUCUUUGCUGAACACCUGAGACACUAAAGCACCUUUUCCUUAGGGAGCCUCUGCAGCCAAGCUGGAAUGUCAAGCCUACCUCCCACAUCCCUGACUUCCAGGAGCUCUCUCUGGACCAGCGGGACCCUGCCCCACCCUACAGUCUGGUGGGCAGGAGCUGUUUAUGUGCACAGCAUGAGGAGGUACUGUCUCCCAUGGCACCAAGCAGGUGAUGUCUCUUCUGGAAAGUUCCUGAGAGUUGUCUGUGUUGGGACCUGGGUGCAGAGGAGAGGGUAGCCUAGCUCUGCCUCUGGUGGUGCCCCCUGUUCCCAUGUUCAGCAGCUUCUGCAAGCCCUUGUGGUCUCUGAGGGCACUGAUAACGAGUCUCCUUCCUCAGGAAUUUCCUGCUCUAGGGACAGUGCCUGCCUCAGCGAGUUCUCAUAGUCCAGGGCCAGGAGCAGGAGGUGCCUGUGGACUGCGGCUUCCUGUCCGGGGAGGCAGGAAAUCCCCAAGGAACUUUAGAGGAGUCAAGUUCCUGGCCUGUGUCUCCCUUCAGUAGAGCAGGGGUGGGUAGGUGACUCUGGAGUAGGAAUGAACACUCAAGACACACUUGAUCUGAGGAGCCCUUGGGUAUUGUAGGUGACUUAUUUUCCCAGACCUGUCCAUUGGGCCCCAGGAAGGGUCUGCAUACCCCACAGAGCCCCCUCCCGACUCCCUGGAGCCAGGCACGGGCACCCUGCACUCUUGAGCCAGCAGAUCAUGGUGGGCCCUGAGCAAGGAGGGAGCACCAUGUGGUGCUGGGCCUGCUCCUAGGGGCUGGUCUGCAGCCUGUGCCUCUUCCCUUCCCAGGUACCACUAGCCCCUGGGGCAGACGGGUCACUCCUUAUCGUAGUACCCCUGCAGAUGCCUCUGCCAGAGCCAAGCCACAUGUCUCCAGCUUGUGUCCCCAUGCUUCCUGAUCCCAGGUGAGGGUGAGGGUCAGCUAAAUGACCAUGUGAGGACAACUGGCACAUUGCAGCUUACAGUAGCCUGCUCAGCCCCUCAGGCCUGAGGCAGAAGUCCACUUUUCCUAGGCUUCCAGGUAGACAUGUCCUGACUGGCCACUCCAGGCGCCGUGCUCCCAGACAUCUGCCAUCCUUGUGGCUAGCCAGAGGCCAGCAGGACGUGUACGUACAUGUACACUGGGUGUGAGUGACACAUGUGUGUGGGUCACUGCUGAGUGUGGUGGUCAGUGCUGAGGGCUCCAUGGAAGCUCCGGACCCCUGCCUUCCCAGUCUCAAGUGCCACAAGCUCUGACACGGUGGCCGCGCUCCUAGGAGCCGUGUGCUGCCCUGCUCCGCAUGCCUCACGGUGUGGCUGUAUUCGGUGAAUUUCCAUAGAGGUGUCCGAGGUAAAAUGAGGUCAUCAGAGUGAGCCAUAGGAGGACACCCAGAGAGGACAGAGUGCACGUGUGUCCAGGAGAAACCAACCCCACCCACAUCUUGACCUUAGACUCCAGCCCCAGAGCCGCGAGGAGGGACUUUUCUGUCACUUUACCCCUGCCCUCGGCAUUCACUGGGCAGCUGGAGGCCCUCCCAGUGUGGCUGCUGUUCUCUCUGGGACCCCAUCCUGUUCACAGGCCCCCACCCCCACGUGGAAUGAUGCUGGCAGUCUCCUCCCUGAAGAGCUCUGCUCAGCUCCGGCCGUGUCACUGCUUCCUGGUCACAGCAGAGGUGGACCCGAGGCUCUCUGCACCAGGGUCUGAGGUGGAAGGCUGCAUGCUCUGACUGACGGGGGACGAGGAGGGAUGGACAGGGAGGCACCAAGCUGCCCUCAGAGCACCCCUGCGGUCAGCACGAGCCCCACCCUAAGCCUGCCCUAAAGUGCCCACACAAGAGCCCCCCCCAUGCUGCCAGAACUUGAAGGCAACCACAAAGAGGCCUCUGUGGGCCGAGCUUCCUCAGGAGCCCACAGCAGCUCCCUGUCCAAGCUUGGGGUCUGGAAAUAGGAGUGGAAAUGUCCCUAGUGCUCUGCCAGACAAUAGGAGGCCCUCUCCCAGGAUUCUGUGCAUGGACCAUGUUCAGGCUGGUGGCUCCAGGAGGAAAAUGAAGGAGACUGCCACUGACACCCACCAGACAUGGCCUGGACUCCUGCCAGGUGUUGCUGCAAGGAUCCCAAGGCCAGGUGGGAAGGUACGUGCCUUCUUGAUACAUGUACAGGUGGCUGUGGUCACCUGGACUGGAAGAGGGGACAAGGGCUUCCUGCAUCAUAGUGUGGGGUACACCUGACUUUCUCCAACAGGCCAAGCUCUGCACACCCCUCCUCUGGGUGUCCUUGGGCUGGCUGGGCUGGCUUCUGUGAGCUCAGGUCAGGGAUAAUCUCUGCUGACCACACUUGUGCCCGAGGAGUUCGUCCAGCCCUGCCAGGCCCUUGUCCUUCUGGCUUCGGGCCUCUGCUAUGGGCAGGGGUCUUAGCCUGUGCUCAUGCCCCCUGCCUGGCAGACAGAGCACUGGGGCCCAGGGCAGGGAGAGGGGUGGUCUGUUUCCUAACAGCUUGCCAUGGUGGCAGCUGAACCAGGUGUUCGGGACAGCGGCAGCUCAAGGCAGAGAAUCUCUGCCACCACCAGUUGCUGUCACGCAUGUGGGGAUGUGCCAGUUAGGUCUGCGGUUACCUUCGCCCCAUCCAGGAGACCCCGGAGUUUGCACACACUGCAAGGCUGAGGGCCGCAGGCCCUGGUGCUGGACCUGGGGGGCCCAGCAGUCACUGGAGUGGAGAAAGCAAGGGUGAGGACCACUGGGGCAACCAAGUGCUCAGGAGAAAAGGACAGAGGCUGAAGGCCAGGCAACAGACAGGCAGCAUCUCUAGCUCAGCUGUAAUGGCCUGCCCUGUCCCAGAUGUGGGAAGACUGGUACUUAGUGGCUUUGGCACCUGCAGCCCUGUCCCUGGCCAGGGUACCUGCAGGGUUCUGGUCUCAGGUCUGGCCAUAUCACCUGCUAGAGCUGGGUCCUGGCCCAGAGAAAGAGGCCAUGCUCCCAGAAAGGCGUUGCCCCAGUUUCUCUGCCCCCACCCCAUGUCACCAGACUGGUGAGGUGUUCCCUAGGGUGACCAGGUCUUUUCCCCAGCAAGCGCCUAGCCACCUGAACUCUUCCAGAAAGGGAAGUGAGGCCUAGAGGGGGCAGGUGCAGGUCUCUGGCCCUGUGUGAGGACUGCCCACUGCAGCACCCUCUUCUGAUGUCUGGAGGCCUGGGGAGCCACCCCAGAGGCCCUCCCCAGGGGCAUCAGCCUCUGGGGGCUCGGCUCAGGUACAGUGGUCCUCCUCCCCAGGUGUUCCAUUCUUGGCAGGAGGUAACCCUAGGGAGGUGGAAACGCGGCAAGCUGCACGAGGCUCAGCUAUCUACUACAUCUCCUUUUACCUGCUGCAGCAAGAGCUGCUCUCUGCAUGUCAGGUCCCUUCAUAUGGAGGUGGAGUUGUGCGUCCUUGGAGCCAUGGCGUGCACCAAGGCCUGGACACCAGAGGCUGCCGAGAAGCCAGGCUUGAGGGAAGAGUGCAAGAGGUUGCUGCUAACAGGCUCCCUAGCCCCUCAGGAGGCUAGAGCUGGAGGAUAGCAAGUUCAAGACCAGCCUCGGCAAUGUAGCAAUAUCGUGCCUCAAAAAAUAAGAAGGGCUGGAGGUGUAGCUCAGUGGUCGAGUGCUUGCCUGGCAUGCACAAGGUGCUGGAUGCAGCUCUCACACUCACACAUGCGUACACAAAUGCACGCGAGGCUCUGGGGCUUCAUGUGGGUAGAAGGCCUUUGUGUGCAUAGCCAGGCCCCUCUGAGGGGUGAAGGGCCAGGCUUUUGCCUGGGGAGCUGUGUGACACAAUUCAGAGCCUUCAGGGACCCAGUUCUACAGCCAGAUCCCAGGCUGGGGGGACGCAGGUGCCCAGGCAGAGAUGGAGCUCAGAGCUUCUCCAGCCGUCUGCUAAGCCGCUCCGCAGCAGUGUGAAGUCAGAAUCGUGAGACUGAAAGUGGGGCCUGCUGGGAGGCACCUAAUCACUCCCUGACGCCUGCGUCUGUGCCAAGAGCAGGUCUGCUCCCCACUCAGUCCCCGAGAGCCGGAGUCUUAGGCCUGGUGGGUGCUGGGCAGGUCCUGCUCUGUCUCUCCUGCCUACCCUCCAAUCUGUGCACCUCGGACCUCCAGUCUCAGGGUCCUUCCUUUUACCUUCUGUUCCCCCCAUGGUGGUGAUCACAGGCUGCGGCUGCGUGUAG
rnacentral:lncRNA from 1 species